GGUCCCCCAACCUCCCGACAA
rnacentral:misc_RNA from 1 species